rnacentral:rRNA from 1 species
UACAGAGGGUGCGAGCGUUAAUCGGAAUUGCUGGGCGUAAAGCGCGCGUAGGCGGCUUUGCAAGUCGAGUGUGAAAUCCCCGGGCUUAACCCGGGAACUGCAUUCGAGACUGCAUAGCUAGAGUAUGGGAGAGGGAAGUGGAAUUUCAGGUGUAGCGGUGAAAUGCGUAGAUAUCUGAAGGAACAUCAGUGGCGAAAGCGACUUCCUGGACCAAUACUGACGCUCAUGUGCGAAAGCGUGGGGAGCAAACAGGAUUAGAAACCCCCGUAGUCC